CUAAUGAUACUUCCGUGAGGCUCGCCAUAAUGAGGGGAGAGGUGAAAUUCCUAUGA
ncrna:Enterococcus faecalis OG1RF pemK RNA